rnacentral:lncRNA from 1 species
UUCAAAUCCUGGUAGUAACAAAUCUCACUUAGAGUUGGUUUCUAUAGACAGUUAAUGUACCAUUAGAAAAAGCUAACAAAAAUGGUCUUGUGAUCUUGGACCAAAUAAAUUUUAAUUAAACCAAGAUUAAACAAAUAACAGUUGACCUUGAUUUUGCUAAUGGUUUUAUGUGCGUCAUAGAAAAUAUGUUAAUUAUAUAAAGUACAUAAAACCGUAACUUUGAACUAACCCAAAACUGAUUUUUGUGUUCACUAUUGUAACUGCUGCAGGAAGGAACAUGCCAUCUAGCCUGUUUAUUAGUAGUCUAUUACAGAGUAGUUAUGAAAGAAUAUUACACCAAUAGAGAUCAAUUUACACUGAAAUUAUAACCUUUACAAGAUUCAAUCCAGACACUAUAAACCAAGUUUGCAAAGCAUAUGGACAAGUGGAAAUCCCAACAUGAUCAAGAUAAAUUAGGAAAUAUUUAUUUAUUGGAACAUGUAAGGGAUAACCUAUCUGAAAUGUUCCAUUUGUUAUACAUUAUUGGAAACAGAAAUAUUUUAAACAUUUAUGCUUUUUCAAACAUAUCCAUUGUGACAACAUUUUUCUCUGAGACAAUAUAACCCUCAUCACUUUUGGAGCCGUAUCUACAGCUUUCCAGUUAGUUCAGUAUGGAGAACCAAGAAUCCGUAUAAAAAACCCAGUUGGGAAUUCACUGGAAGAGGUUUGAAGCAUAAAGAUGAUAAGCAGAUGACACAUCUGUCUCUCAAAUUUCUUAGAGAAUAGAUGUCCUAUGAGAAUAGAAGGCAAUUUCAUUCAAUAGAUUUAAAUGGAAGACAACAAAUUCCAGCUGAAGUGUUUCAUUAAGAUUUUAUUUUAUGACAUAAUUAUUCAAAACUAUAAAGUAAUGAAAAAAAAAAACAUUUAAAAAUUAGAGAAAUAAAUCUUUAAAUAAUGUAUUUAUUUCCUACUUUGACAUUUAUCUAUUUUGACUCCUCAUUAUUUGAGAAGAUUCUGAAAAUUUUGAUAUUUACAAAUUUAUGCAAAUAUCAAGUGUUUUUGUAUUGCUUGACAGUAGAAUGUGAAAGCUGUUAACGUGGUUUUAACCCAUUAACUAUUGUCUAACAGUCCAUUAUCUUAACCAAUGUAUUUCUUCAACACAAUAUAGUAAUAAAGAAAAUAAUUAACUAUUUGUAA